rnacentral:rRNA from 1 species
AAGCAUAUCAAUAAGCGGAGGAAAAGAAACUAACAAGGAUUCCCCUAGUAACUGCGAGUGAAGCGGGAACAGCUCAAAUUUGAAAUCUCCGGGGUUCCCCUGGCGAAUUGUAGUUUCAAGAAGUGUUUUCGGCGGCGGCCUUGGCUCAAGUCCCUUGGAACAGGGCGUCAUAGAGGGUGAGAACCCCGUGAAGCCUUGGCUUGCUGCUUUGUGAUACACUUUCAAAGAGUCGGAUUGUUUGGGAUUGCAGUCCAAAAUGGGAGGUAAAUUUCUUCUAAAGCUAAAUACUGGCGAGAGACCGAUAGCGAACAAGUACCGUGAGGGAAAGAUGAAAAGAACUUUGAAAAGAGAGUUAAACAGUACGUGAAAUUGUCAAAAGGGAAAGGCUUGAAACCAGUCAUGCUGUCUGAGAUUCAGCGCGCCACUCCGGCGCGUCCAUUUCUCAGAUGGCAGGUCAACGUCAGUUCUCUUCGCGUCGAAAGGCCUUUGGAAGGUAGCCUGCCUCCGGGUGGGUGUUAUAGCCUCUGGCUCUGGCGCGUGGGGGGACUGAGGACCGCAGGGCGCAUUGGGUUAGUUGGGUAGGGCCAUUCCUUUCUGCAGACUGCAUGCAGGCUGCAAGAAGGCGCAACCCUUUCCUGGCAACACCUCUCCGUCCCUUAGGACGUUGACGAAAUGGUUUUAAACCACCC